rnacentral:rRNA from 1 species
GGUUAAGCGACUAAGCGUACACGGUGGAUGCCCUGGCAGUCAGAGGCGAUGAAGGACGUGCUAAUCUGCGAUAAGCGUCGGUGAGGUGAUAUGAACCGUUAUAACCGGCGAUUUCCGAAUGGGGAAACCCAGUGUGUUUCGACACACUAUCAUUAACUGAAUCCAUAGGUUAAUGAGGCGAACCGGGGGAACUGAAACAUCUAAGUACCCCGAGGAAAAGAAAUCAACCGAGAUUCCCCCAGUAGCGGCGAGCGAACGGGGAGCAGCCCAGAGCCUAAAUCAGUGUGUGUGUUAGUGGAAGCGUCUGGAAAGGCGCGCGAUACAGGGUGACAGCCCCGUACACAAAAAUGCACAUACUGUGAGCUCGAUGAGUAGGGCGGGACACGUGGUAUCCUGUCUGAAUAUGGGGGGACCAUCCUCCAAGGCUAAAUACUCCUGACUGACCGAUAGUGAACCAGUACCGUGAGGGAAAGGCGAAAAGAA